AUAUUAGCUAAGUAAAUCGAUGUUAUUAGCUAGCUAGUAUCUACUUUUGGUUAUACAUUAUUUGAUAAUGCUAGCGAGCCAGCCUAGCUAUGGGAUGAAAUGGGAAUGAUACUGUAGCUAGCUAAAUACACCAAGCUAGCGUGUAAUGUGAUGUAGCAUGUCACAGGAAGAUGUACAUAGCUCAUGCUAGCUAGCUACCUUGCUAACAACAGCUAACUGUGGGCCAUUGGCAUUCAGGGUCAAUACAGGGCAGGCACUUGGAGGCUAGCUAAUCAUAGGAUGUCGCCAGCUUGCUUUCAAUAAUGAUUCAACUUGAACUGGCUAGCUAACAUGAACUAACUAACGUUAGCUAGCUAUCCAACUGAUUUCAACUCAGACAAAGGUACAGUAUGAUAACUAACCUGAAUUUGCUAAGCUAUGUAGCUAGCUAGCAUUCGGGUGCUUCGUCUGCUAACCGAAAACAACAUGCCUGCUCUCAUAAACGUUUAUCAUGUAAAAAAUAAAUGACGGGUGGUACUUGUCUACUACAAAUACAGCCAUGGCUCUGACAGCAAAUGGCAAAAUAUAUCAGCAAGCAUCAAUUCUAUAGUUGCAGGCCCUCUUUUAGCAUAUACAGUACCAGUCAAAAGUUUGGACACCUACUAAUUCAAGGGUGUUUCUUUAUUUUUACUAUUGUAGAAUAACAGUGAAGACAUCAAAACUAUGAAAUAACACACAUGGAAUAAUGUAGUAACCAAAAAAUUGUAGCCACCCUUUGCCUUGAUGACAGCUUUCCACACUCUUGGUAUUCUCUCAACCAGCUCACCUGGAAUGCUUUUUCAACAGUCUUGAAGGAGUUCCACAUAUGCUAAGCAAUUGUUGGUUGCUUUUCCUUCACUCUGCGGUCCAACUCCUUCCAAACCAUCUCAAUUGGGUUGAGAUUGGGUGAUUGUGGAGGCCAUGUCAUCUGAUGCAGAACUCCAUCACUCCUUCUUGGUCAAAUAGUCCAUACACAGCCUGCAGGUGUGUUGGGUCAUUGUCCUGUUGAAAAACAAGUGAUAGUCCCACGAAGCACAAACCAGAUGGGAUGGCGUAUUGCUGCAGAAUGCUGUGGUAGCCAUGCUGGUUAAGUGUGCCUUGAAUUUAAAUAAAUCACUGUGUCACCAGACAGUGUCACCAGCAAAGCACCAUCACACCACCUCCUCCAUGAUUCACGGUGGGAACCACGCAUGCAGAGAUCAUCCAUUCACCUACUCUGCAUCACAAAGACACAGCGGUUGGAACCCAAAAUCUCAAAUUUGGACUCAUCAGAACAAAGGUCAGAUUUCCACAGGUCUAAUGUCCAUUGCUCGUUUUUCUUGGCCCCGGCAAGUCUCUUAUUAUUGGUCUCCUUUAGUAGUGGUUUCUUUGCAGCAUUUCGACCAUGAAGGCCUGAUUCACAGUCUCCUCUGAACAGUUGAUGUUGAGUUGUCUGUUACUUGAACUCUGAAGCAUUUAUUUGGGCUGCAAUCUGAGGUACAGUUAACUCUAAUGAACUUAUCCUCUACAUCAGAGGUAACUCUGGGUCUUCUUUUCCUGUGGCGGGCCUCAUGAGAGCCAGUUUCAUCAUAGCUUUUGAUGGUUUUUGCGACUGCACUUGGAGAAACUUUCAAAGAUCCGGAUUGACUGACCUUCAUGUCUUAAAACGACAGUCCAUCAUUACUUUAUCAUUGCUUAUUUUAGCUGUUCUUGCUAUUAUAUGGACUUAGUCAAUUACCAAAUAGGGCUUUCUUCUGCAUACCAACCCUACCUUUUCACAACACAAUUGAUUGGCUCAAAUGCAUUAAGAAGGAAAGAAAUUCCACAUAUUAACUUUGAACUAGGCACACCUGUUAAUUGAAAUGCAUUCCAGGUGACUACCUCAUGAUCCUGUUUGAGAUAAUGCCAAGAGGGUGCAAAGCUGUGAAGGGUGGCUACUUUGAAGAAUCUCAAAUGUAAAAAAUAUAUUCAUGUUUAACACCUUUUUUGGUUGCUACAUGAUUCCAUAUUUGUCAUUUCAUUGUUUUGAUGACUUCACUAUUAUUCUACAAUGCAAAAAAUAAAGAACCCCUGGAAUGAAUAGGUGUCUCCAAACUUUUGACUGGUACUGUACAUUACUUCUAAACUAGAUUUCUUUUCUCACUAUAUGUUUGAGUGAUGAUAUUUAAUUCACAGGCCACAUACAAAACCUGGUGGAUUUGUUGUUCAGCAGCAUCGUGGUCCGUCCUGGAAUUCACCUAAACACCAUUGAUAAUGUAAUCAGUGCUGUGUUGUCCGCUUCCACUGUGCCAAUGGACUACUAUUGGGCAAUGUCCCCCUCCCCCAAAAAAAUCUGCACUGAGCAAAUUUGUGCAACUUCCGGUGCGCGUUUACUGUGAACACUGAGGUUGUAUCCUCUUUUUCAGUUACAGGUUUAACAGUGGCUAAGUAGUCUACUGUGGCAAUUUGAUCAUAAUAUAGACCUACCAGAGUGGCCUACCAUCAGAAACAAUGGAGAAAAUGCAUCCCAUAACAUUUUAACAUGGAAAUAGCUGUCCUAUCAUUCAAUCUACAGUAGCAACCAAUGUGUGGUGUUCAAUGUAGAGACCUUUGGAAAAACACAUGCAGGCUUGACAUUAACCUGCUUAUCCACUUGUCUUUCAGAGAAGGACAUGACUGAAAAUGUUGUUUGAUGCAAGAAACCACUUUCAAAAUAAAGAUCAUUAUUAUUGCCAUACCAUUUAUUACAGAGAAUCAGAGAAAUCAUGCUACGUUCUGCCUGUUGGCUACUUCGCAUUCAAAAAGUCUCAAAAUACAACACUGCCCAUUUUAAGACACAAAAAAGCUCUUUACCUGGCUAGCUUUUCAAAGAUGGCUAGAAAUGCACACAUUUUGUGCUCUUGUAUGAAGCAAUCACUCCCCCAUUAUUGACUAGAAAUGAGCUAUAACUGGGCUAAUAACUCACCUACUAGUUUAGAAUAUGAAGAAAUGUGCACGUGGCUACAUGCAGCUCUCGCUUUCGUCUCAAAACAAGCAUCUACAAUCUACAUCUACCGCUCAUGCUGUAGCCUGAACACAGUCCAGUUUAAAGUGAAUGGCACAGAUCCAUAUAUGGCAAUGGAUAUUUACAUAUAGGCCAACUGUAGCUCUUACUGGUUAUGGUGCACCGGUCUGUGCCUGUCAAUGCAAUAGAAUCCUACUCCAAUGCACUCUGCCUACAAGAACAUCUCUUUGCAUACUAUGUUCGUUUUGGUAUGUAACAUUGAAAGUGAUUCGAUCACAAUUCCCACACUAGAGCGAAACGUAAAACUCUAGAAAGUUGAAGUUCACUCUAGUGCUUCUCUGAGUGGGCUGUUACUUCUUCUGCACAGCAGUCAAGGGAAGCUGCUCGCCUGCGCUUGCAGCUUUGAGGGAACAUUGCUCCUGGGCCUGAGUGAGUAAUGCCAACCAGUCAGUGCCAUGCUGGCACGUGUCCCUUGUGAAUUAGCCAAUCAGAGAUCCUAAUUCACAGCUAUGUUCAACCGUGUGUUUAGUGUUGGCUUCUAUGACUGUAUGGUGCCUGUCUGUGUGAUAGAGGAGCUGAAGUCAGGCUCCUUCGUGACCAGUAUCUAUGAUGAGUGGCCUGGAGCUGAUCUACUCUGCCAUGUCCAUCAGGCAUUGGCAAACACCUCAGAAGGGACCGAAGAUGGGCAGAAUAGAUGCUUUUUAAAUGGAGUCCUUUGACUGAAAGAAAGGUUGAUACUGAUGACUGUAUUGGGAGAGACCUUGCAAGACAAUUAAACAAGACACAUCUAUUACUUUCUGUCGUCUUUUGUUAUUAUUGAAUCGGAUUGUACUGUAUGUUCUUCAAACAUGUCAGGGAAGUCCUGUCUAAUACGGAACACCAUACAUGAAAGUAUAAUAUUUGCACACUGUUAUAUCAGCAGAACUACUUUUAAAGUAUAAUGUGAAGUAUGGCUUAUUCAUGGAACUGUUAGACUUGAAAGUUAUCAAAACACUGUUUAGAAUGUCUACAUACUGUAUGAUGGUGUGUAUACAGUAUGGAAAGUAUAUGAAUAGAGAAGUUCUACAGCAGUAAUUAUAUAAGAUGAGUCUUGACUAGAAUACGUUAUAUGCUGUACUUUAUGAAGUGGGUAAAAUGGUACAUGUAAACAUUAUUAAAGUGACCGGUGUUCAA